UACAGAGGGUGCAAGCGUUAUUCGGAUUUAUUGGGCGUAAAGCGCGUGUAGGUGGUUUGUUAAGUCUGAUGUGAAAUCCCUGGACUCAAUUCAGGAAGUGCAUUGGAUACUGGCAGACUAGAGUAGAGGAGAGGAAAGCGGAAUUCCAGGAGUAGAGGUGAAAUUCGUAGAUAUCUGGAGGAACAACAGCGGCGAAGGCGGCUUUCUGGACUCUAACUGACACUAAGACGCGAAAGCGUGGGGAGCAAACAGG
rnacentral:rRNA from 1 species